GUCAACUAAUUAGGGACAAUCUCUAGUUAAGCCAAAUUGUGAAUUUUUUUUUUAUUUUCCAACGAGUCUUAGCAAUAUUCCAUAUCUUUUACAUGUAAGUGUAAUUAGUCAUUUAUGUGCGCGAUUAUACAAAGAAUAACAACUUCUUAAGCAUUAAACCUCUUUACAGUAUAGCUGAUACAAUAUCAUAGUGCUAUUGGUUCAAAGAGUGCUGGCUGGCCAUUUAAUUAGGGACACUGAGGUAUUGCGUUCUAAUUUCAAAAUUGGAAUUUUAAUACUUUUUUGUUUCUUUUCUUAUUGUUUAGUGGUCGUUUUGGUGGCAAUCCAGAUUUUUUAUUUUAAGUUUUGAGAAUUAUUUUGAAGAAAAAUGGGCAAAAAUAAAAGUUGCGAUCCAACACUACGAAAAAUUAUCAUGAAGUUUGUCGAGCGUGGUUGGUCAUACCGAAGGAUAGCACAACAUUUAAAUUGUUCAAAAACUAUGGUAUGCAAUGCAGUGCAACAUUUCAAGCGCUAUAACACAGCUUUAAAUGUGUCCAGAACAAAAAGAUCGAUAAAAACGACUCCGCAAGAAGAUAGAAUGAUAACCAGGUUAGCUAAGAAAGAUCCGUUUCUAGGCUCUAUUUUAAUUAAACACGAAGUGUUUGGGGCAAGCGAAAGAGCCGGUGUAUCUGCGAGGACCGUUCGACGAUGUUUGAUAGAAGCAGGGUUGUUCGGAAGAGUGGCUCGCAAAGUACCGAUGUUGAAGAAAGAACAUAGAAAUGCUCGUUUGGCAUUUGCACGUAAAUAUUGACAUUGGACCUACGCCCAAUGGCAACAUGUACUUUUCUCUGACGAGACCAAGGUUAAUUUGAUUUCUUCAGAUGGAAGGCAAUAUGUACGGCGUCCUGUAAAAGCGGAAAUGAAUUCAAGAUUCACAAAAAAACAAGUGAAACAUGGCGGUGGAAACAUUAAAAUAUGGGGUUCACUUUCUGGACGUGGAGUGGGACCUGUGAGGAAAGUUCAGGGUAACUUAGACCAACAUCAAUACAAGGCAAUAUUGGAAGAAACUAUGCUUCCCUAUGCUGAGGAGCAUCUCCCUAUUAUAUGGACGUUUCAGCAGGAUAACGACCCGAAACAUACCGCCCAAUAAGUCAAGUCGUUUCUUACCAGUUAGUUUGUAUCGGUGAUAGAUUGGCCAGCAAAUAGCCGGACCUCAACCCAAUUGAGCACCUUUGGCACGAAAUCAAGAAAAAAGUUGCCACUUAUCGUAAUACAAAUUUGGAUGAACUUCAUGAAGCUUUUUGUGAGGCAUGGGCAAACAUUCCUGUCGAAACAUGUCAGAAACUGAUAAUGUCUAUGCCACAUCGGUGUCAAGCGGUAAUUACUAACAAAGGUUUUGCUACUGGGUACUGAUUUUACACGUAAUAAAAUGGAGCUGUUAAAAAUAUUAUAACACUGAAGAUUAUAAGUUUUGUGUAACUGUAUUUUUCAUUAUACUUUACUGUCCUUAAUUAAAUGUCCACUACAGAAUUGUACCUUAAUAUUUAAUACAUGUUUAAUCUUUAAUAUUAAAUACUAUUUCUAUUUAUUAAA